rnacentral:rRNA from 1 species
AUGACGAUCCUCGGCUGGAACUGUCGAGGCCUCGGGCAACCUCUAACAGUUCAAGAACUUGUGUGCCUCGUGCAUACGUAUAAGCCCAAGCUCGUCUUCCUCACUGAAACACGACAAAGUAAUAAGUAUGUCAUGAAUCUCAAGGGAAGGCUUGGCCUCCGCCACUGCAUUGCGCAACUCGACAUUGGAAAAGGUGCCGACAUUGCCAUCUUCUAUGAUGAGAGUGUG